CAGUUCAGAUUGCAGGCUGCAACUCGCCUGCAUGAAGUCGGAAUUGCUAGUAAUCGCAGAUCAGCAUGCUGUGGUGAAUACGUUCCCGGGCCUUGUACACACCGCCCGUCACACCAUGGGAGUCGGUAACACCCGAAGUCGGUAGCCUAACCGUAAGGAGGGCGCCGCCGAAGGUGGGGAUUGAUGACUGGGGUGAAGUCGUAACAAGGUAAC
rnacentral:rRNA from 1 species